GUGUGUGUGUGUGUGUGUGUGUGUGUGUGUGUGUGUGUGUGUGUGUGUGUGUGUGUGUGUGUGUUUGAGACGACUAUUAACGCCACUAGUUCUAUUAUCCGCAGAUAAAGAUUUUUGCUGCUUCCUGUUCAGUGCUAAAGCGUCCGCUCACGUGUCCGCUCAGCAGCCGAGGACCCAGUGGCGUCUACCGAAGCCCUUUUCUGAAGUCGCGUCGAGCUCGUAUGUCGGCCGUGUGCAAAAUGUCGGUUUAAUUUAUUUUUGCAGCUCCUCAAUGGGCAUUUGAAAUUCCUCUGGGUUGAAGGACGCGUGCUGUUGCAACACGAGUGCGUUGUUUCAUCCAGGAUGUUUACAGUGAUUCACAACUCGCUCCGAUCAUAAACUGAACAUCCAACGUCGCAGUUUGCAGGGAUUAUAUUUGGAAGUAAGUGUUUUUGUUAUUUUUUUAUGUCUGUUUUGCGUGUUCUAGGCCUUUUACUCCUUUUUAAAAGGAUUUAUAGAAAAUCUUCUCUGUAACUGGACUACUUGGUUUGGUGUGUUUCUGUUACCAUAAAGACUCGAGUCUCAUUCAACUCAUUCAUAUCCAGUUCGUCCUCAUAUCGAUUCCACUCAGCAGGGACUGGAAUUGAUUCGCAGGUCAUGUGGUUAUUUUCUCCUGAUUGGCCGCCUUGUUAUAAACCUCGCAAUCGGCCCUCAGCAGAAGGGAAGACAAAUAUAUUGCAGCGCAUCGUUAAUUAAAAGAAAGGUACAGUUUUUCUUUUUUUUCUUCUUUUCUUUUUUUUUUUUUUAAAUCGAGCCGUGAGUUUCCAUGACAACGCUCUAGUGGCCUUGUAUCCCCUGAAGGUCUUGAGUGUUGAGCGCGAGCGGCAUCAUUUUCUCGUGUUUCUCUAUCACAUAUAACAUCCGUUCUAAUAAUAUUUCGUGGACAAAAGCACUUGAACUCAGUGGUGUGUUAAGCGUUUGAACGUUUCCGGUCCAACAUGUGUGAUUUACCACUGAAGAAUUAAGAUUAAGAGUGACAAGUAGAUUGAGUCCACUUUUGGGUUAUUGAUAAGCUGACAGUAUUGUGGGGCAUCUAUAGAACUACAAAGCAGUCCUACUAUGUCCGUACUGUGGUUAUCUUGCCCCAGGCUGCAUUCACUACUGAAAUAAUAAUUAUAUAUUUAUGAGCUGUGUACAUUUAUCUUUCUUUAUUUUUCAUGUUUAAAAGAGGAAUGUUUUUCUCUUUUUGGGAACUGAUUGAGUAAACCUGAACCAUUCAUGUGCUGUAAUUUCGGUUAUUUAUCCUGGUGUACAAAGUGCCAGUGGAUUAUUUAAUCCGGUUUGGUUUUCCAAAGAAAAAUAAUUUAAAUAAUCAAUUAAUACAAAACCCUUUUUUUUAUAUUCAUUCAAUCAUUUAAGUCACGUCUCAGUUCAAACUGCCAAACAUUUGCUCCAUUUAUCCCAGCUUCUUAUAAAGCCUCAUUCUAAAUUGAACAUUUGGGGGUUUUGGCCUUUUUGGACAAAACUCUAGAAAUUGGCAUUUGCACUUUCCCAGUAUUUUUUUUAUAUCAAUUAUUUUUACAUAAUGUAUCAACAAAUAAUGAACCAUUGAUCUCUGAUUUUAUCAGUUCCAGUAAAAAUGAAUUUUGUAAGCACCUAAAAAUGAAAGAAAUAUGACUUUAUAAGAUGCACAACUUAGAAAUGAAUGAAUAACCUCAUUGUAGCAGCCACAUCGGUACCGUUUGUAUACAAAGCCUUUGCUGCAGAAACCAGCUAAUAAAUAUUGUUCAAUGGGGGAUUUGUGUUGUUCCUCUAACACGCUGCCGGUACUCGUACCUGACAAACUGUUCCUAAAGUACGGUUUAAUAUCUGUUUUGCACAAAUCUACACAUAAUUCCACCAUUAACACCAGUAGUUUGAACACACAACCCACAGGUGGCACUCGACUAACACACACACACACACACACACACACAAAAGGCUCUUUUGGUAGAGUUUGGUGAGGGGGGGGGGGGUGUACGUGCUAUGAUGGAAGUGUGCGGUGCUACGGGUCCAUGUGGGACGCUGAAGUCUGGAGGUUGGGUGUAGAAUCACAAAGGACACACACACACACACACACACACGCGCACGCAGUUGUGUGUUAAAACAGGGCAGUUGUUCCGGGUGUUUUUAAGGGUUAGUGGGUCGGACAAAACGGAGACUUAUUUGUACUCAAUGUUGUUUCCACAGGCUCUUUCUGUUUUCACCCCCCCCCCCGAGCACUGAUGGCUUUCAUUCUUUGUCAUUUCCUCUCCGCUCGGCUCGCUGCCUCCGUCAGUUUGACCCGGUUGGUUCUUGCAAUCAUCUUGUGGUUAUUUUGUGUGUAUUUUUUUAUUAUUUGGUAUCCACUCCAACCAGUUGUAACUCUGUGGUCUUUUGGUUCAUCCGUCGUCUCGGCCGUUUGGUGCCUGCUCGGUUUCUCAGCAGUUUGACGGUGACGAAGGCCUCAAGCGGGCCGACGUCGCCGCAUUAUUCUUUUUUUUCUUUUUUUUUUCACCAUUUAUUUUCAAUUCCAAGCCCGCCGCACAUUCUCCGGACCAGAUCACUGUUACUACGAAGGCUUCUUGUCACGUAAACCUUGUUGGUUUACUCCUCGGUGGCAGCAGAUUCAGAUGUCGAUUAUCAGGUAAAAUGGGCACUUUUCUAAUAAUGUAAAAAUAAAAAAGUAUUGAAGGAUGUUGAUGGAGAGCAAAGAUAAGUGCGAGAUGACGUGUUCUAAAUGGGGUUUGAAAGAUGAUUCAUUGGUGCCUUUUUUUUAAUAGACAGUUUUGUACAACCCUUUUGUAUAGAUAACUAGUUAUUCUUAAAAUGUAAACAUAUUUUCUUGUUCAUUGCUGUGAAUAAUUUGUAAUUUGCUGCAUUGUUCUAAUACUUGUGUAAUAAAUAAGGCCUUUUUAUAAGUCUAA